rnacentral:rRNA from 1 species
UACGUAGGGUGCGAGCGUUAAUCGGAAUUACUGGGCGUAAAGCGUGCGCAGGCGGUUAUGUAAGACAGUUGUGAAAUCCCCGGGCUCAACCUGGGAAUUGCAUCUGUGACUGCAUAGCUAGAGUACGGUAGAGGGGGAUGGAAUUCCGCGUGUAGCAGUGAAAUGCGUAGAUAUGCGGAGGAACACCAGUGGCGAAGGCGGCUCUCUGGUCUGUAACUGACGCUGAGGCGCGAAAGCGUGGGGAGCAAACAGG